CCUACGGGAGGCAGCAGUGAGGAAUAUUGGUCAAUGGGCGCGAGCCUGAACCAGCCAAGUCGCGUGAGGGAAGACGGUCCUAUGGAUUGUAAACCUCUUUUGUCGGGGAGCAAAAGACGCCACGCGUGGCGUUCCGAGAGUACCCGAAGAAAAAGCAUCGGCUAACUCCGUGCCAGCAGCCGCGGUAAUACGGAGGAUGCGAGCGUUAUCCGGAUUUAUUGGGUUUAAAGGGUGCGUAGGCGGGCAUUUAAGCCGGCGGUCAAAUGUCGGGGCUCAACCCCGGCCUGCCGUCGGAACUGGGUGCCUUGAGUGGGCGAGAAGUAUGCGGAAUGCGUGGUGUAGCGGUGAAAUGCAUAGAUAUCACGCAGAACCCCGAUUGCGAAGGCAGCAUACCGGCGCCCUACUGACGCUGAGGCACGAAAGUGCGGGUAUCGAACAGGAUUAGAUACCCCAGUAGUC
rnacentral:rRNA from 1 species